UACGUAGGUGACCAGCGUUGUCCGGAUUUACUGGGCGUAAAGAGCGCGCAGGCGGUCGUUCAAGUCGAGUGUGAAAGCCCCCGGCUCAACUGGGGAGGGUCAUUCGAUACUGAUCGACUGGAAGGCAGGAGAGGGAAGCGGAAUUCCCGGUGUAGUGGUGAAAUGCGUAGAUAUCGUAAGGAAGACCAGUGGCGAAGGCGGGUCUCUGGACAGUUCCUGACACUGAGACACGAAGGCCAGGGGAGCAAACGGG
rnacentral:rRNA from 1 species